rnacentral:rRNA from 1 species
AAAUUGAAGAGUUUGAUCAUGGCUCAGAUUGAACGCUGGCGGCAGGCCUAACACAUGCAAGUCGAACGGUAACAGGAAGCAGCUUGCUGCUUUGCUGACGAGUGGCGGACGGGUGAGUAAUGUCUGGGAAACUGCCUGAUGGAGGGGGAUAACUACUGGAAACGGUGGCUAAUACCGCAUAACGUCGCAAGACCAAAGAGGGGGACCUUCGGGCCUCUUGCCAUCAGAUGUGCCCAGAUGGGAUUAGCUUGUUGGUGAGGUAACGGCUCACCAAGGCGACGAUCCCUAGCUGGUCUGAGAGGAUGACCAGCCACACUGGAACUGAGACACGGUCCAGACUCCUACGGGAGGCAGCAGUGGGGAAUAUUGCACAAUGGGCGCAAGCCUGAUGCAGCCAUGCCGCGUGUAUGAAGAAGGCCUUCGGGUUGUAAAGUACUUUCAGCGGGGAGGAAGGUGUUGUGGUUAAUAACCGCAGCAAUUGACGUUACCCGCAGAAGAAGCACCGGCUAACUCCGUGCCAGCAGCCGCGGUAAUACGGAGGGUGCAAGCGUUAAUCGGAAUUACUGGGCGUAAAGCGCACGCAGGCGGUCUGUCAAGUCGGAUGUGAAAUCCCCGGGCUCAACCUGGGAACUGCAUUCGAAACUGGCAGGCUUGAGUCUUGUAGAGGGGGGUAGAAUUCCAGGUGUAGCGGUGAAAUGCGUAGAGAUCUGGAGGAAUACCGGUGGCGAAGGCGGCCCCCUGGACAAAGACUGACGCUCAGGUGCGAAAGCGUGGGGAGCAAACAGGAUUAGAUACCCUGGUAGUCCACGCCGUAAACGAUGUCUACUUGGAGGUUGUGCCCUUGAGGCGUGGCUUCCGGAGCUAACGCGUUAAGUAGACCGCCUGGGGAGUACGGCCGCAAGGUUAAAACUCAAAUGAAUUGACGGGGGCCCGCACAAGCGGUGGAGCAUGUGGUUUGAUUCGAUGCAACGCGAAGAACCUUACCUGGUCUUGACAUCCACAGAACUUUCCAGAGAUGGAUUGGUGCCUUCGGGAACUGUGAGACAGGUGCUGCAUGGCUGUCGUCAGCUCGUGUUGUGAAAUGUUGGGUUAAGUCCCGCAACGAGCGCAACCCUUAUCCUUUGUUGCCAGCGGUUAGGCCGGGAACUCAAAGGAGACUGCCAGUGAUAAACUGGAGGAAGGUGGGGAUGACGUCAAGUCAUCAUGGCCCUUACGACCAGGGCUACACACGUGCUACAAUGGCGCAUACAAAGAGAAGCGACCUCGCGAGAGCAAGCGGACCUCAUAAAGUGCGUCGUAGUCCGGAUUGGAGUCUGCAACUCGACUCCAUGAAGUCGGAAUCGCUAGUAAUCGUGGAUCAGAAUGCCACGGUGAAUACGUUCCCGGGCCUUGUACACACCGCCCGUCACACCAUGGGAGUGGGUUGCAAAAGAAGUAGGUAGCUUAACCUUCGGGAGGGCGCUUACCACUUUGUGAUUCAUGACUGGGGUGAAGUCGUAACAAGGUAACCGUAGGGGAACCUGCGGUUGGAUCACCUCCUUACCUUAAAGAA